CUGCUUGAUUCUGAAACAUGUUGGCAGCGGUCGGACUUGAGUGGUUUCUAUUCCUGCAGAAAGAAUGGUGACUUUUAUUCCACUACUAAACUAUGACUAAACUUUUGCCUUGCCAGACUAACCAGGGAGCUGAGCUCCAGACAAGAUUAGAUUGAACUUUGAAGAUGUCAGCCCACUCAGCCCCACACAUAGGGUAUAUAGAGUACUGUUCACGAGAACACAGCCCUAGAAAAGAGGUUCCAUCUGGCAGAAGUGACCCAGCAGGAAGCAUAGAAUAUGGAGGUAGAUCAAGAAAAAGUUGCCGUCAUGCUGGAGGAUGAACUCGAGAAAUUCAGGUCAGAUGUCCAGAAGAUGCCCAGAAACCAGUGAGGGCAUAUAGUGCUAUUCACUAGAACAGGUCCCUGGAAUCAAGGGUUCAUCUGGCAGAAGAGACCUAACGGGAAGCAGGAAAUAUGUACCAAGAUUAGGGAAAAUUUGUUGCCAUGCUGGAGGAUGAACUCAACAAACUUGGGUCAAUGGACCAGAUAAUGCGCUGGGAUAUGCCACCAGAACCAGUGGUAAGUUAGGCAGGAUUUACAAUUAUUGUCUACAGAGUGCAUCCCAGAAAAUAAUGAACCCAGAAUUAUUGAUGCUUUAACCUAUCCUUCGUAAUCAGUAUAACAGGGUUCCCAGCCC